rnacentral:rRNA from 1 species
CCGUGUACGUACAAGCAGUGGGAGCACAGAGCAAUCUGUGUGACUGCGUACCUUUUGUAUAAUGGGUCAGCGACUUAUAUUCUGUAGCAAGGUUAACCGAAUAGGGGAGCCGAAGGGAAACCGAGUCUUAACUGGGCGUUAAGUUGCAGGGUAUAGACCCGAAACCCGGUGAUCUAGCCAUGGGCAGGUUGAAGGUUGGGUAACACUAACUGGAGGACCGAACCGACUAAUGUUGAAAAAUUAGCGGAUGACUUGUGGCUGGGGGUGAAAGGCCAAUCAAACCGGGAGAUAGCUGGUUCUCCCCGAAAGCUAUUUAGGUAGCGCCUCGUGAAUUCAUCUCCGGGGGUAGAGCACUGUUUCGGCAAGGGGGUCAUCCCGACUUACCAACCCGAUGCAAACUGCGAAUACCGGAGAAUGUUAUCACGGGAGACACACGGCGGGUGCUAACGUCCGUCGUGAAGAGGGAAACAACCCAGACCGCCAGCUAAGGUCCCAAAGUCAUGGUUAAGUGGGAAACGAUGUGGGAAGGCCCAGACAGCCAGGAUGUUGGCUUAGAAGCAGCCAUCAUUUAAAGAAAGCGUAAUAGCUCACUGGUCGAGUCGGCCUGCGCGGAAGAUGUAACGGGGCUAAACCAUGCACCGAAGCUGCGGCAGCGACGCUGAUGCGUUGUUGGGUAGGGGAGCGUUCUGUAAGCCUGCGAAGGUGUGCUGUGAGGCAUGCUGGAGGUAUCAGAAGUGCGAAUGCUGACAUAAGUAACGAUAAAGCGGGUGAAAAGCCCGCUCGCCGGAAGACCAAGGGUUCCUGUCCAACGUUAAUCGGGGCAGGGUGAGUCGACCCCUAAGGCGAGGCCGAAAGGCGUAGUCGAUGGGAAACAGGUUAAUAUUCCUGUACUUGGUGUUACUGCGAAGGGGGGACGGAGAAGGCUAUGUUGGCCGGGCGACGGUUGUCCCGGUUUAAGCGUGUAGGCUGGUUUUCCAGGCAAAUCCGGAAAAUCAAGGCUGAGGCGUGAUGACGAGGCACUACGGUGCUGAAGCAACAAAUGCCCUGCUUCCAGGAAAAGCCUCUAAGCAUCAGGUAACAUCAAAUCGUACCCCAAACCGACACAGGUGGUCAGGUAGAGAAUACCAAGGCGCUUGAGAGAACUCGGGUGAAGGAACUAGGCAAAAUGGUGCCGUAACUUCGGGAGAAGG